rnacentral:rRNA from 1 species
CAUAGGGUAAGGAGGCGAACCGGGGGAACUGAAACAUCUAAGUACCCCGAGGAAAAGAAAUCAACCGAGAUUCCGAAAGUAGCGGCGAGCGAAAUUGGACUAGCCCUUAAGCUUUACACGCGUUAGACGAACGGUCUGGAAAGUCCGACGAUACAGGGUGAUAGUCCCGUAGUUGACGACGUGUGUUCAGUGAAAUCGAGUAGGGCGGGACACGUGAUAUCCUGUCUGAAUAUGGGGGGACCAUCCUCCAAGGCUAAAUACUACUGACUGACCGAUAGUGAACCAGUACCGUGAGGGAAAGGCGAAAAGAACCCCUGUGAGGGGAGUGAAAUAGAACCUGAAACCGUGUACGUACAAGCAGUAGGAGCAGGCUUUGUCCUGUGACUGCGUACCUUUUGUAUAAUGGGUCAGCGACUUAUAUUCAGUGGCAAGGUUAACCAUCUAGGGGAGCCGUAGGGAAACCGAGUCUUAACUGGGCGUUCAGUCUCUGGAUAUAGACCCGAAACCAGGUGAUCUAGCCAUGGGCAGGUUGAAGGUUGAGUAACAUCAACUGGAGGACCGAACCGACUAAUGUUGAAAAAUUAGCGGAUGACUUGUGGCUAGGGGUGAAAGGCCAAUCAAACCUGGAGAUAGCUGGUUCUCCCCGAAAGCUAUUUAGGUAGCGCCUCGGACGAAUACUACUGGGGGUAGAGCACUGUUAAGGCUAGGGGGUCAUCCCGACUUACCAACCCUUUGCAAACUCCGAAUACCAGUAAGUACUAUCCGGGAGACACACGGCGGGUGCUAACGUCCGUCGUGGAGAGGGAAACAACCCAGACCGCCAGCUAAGGUCCCAAAUUACUACUAAGUGGGAAACGAUGUGGGAAGGCUCAGACAGCCAGGAUGUUGGCUUAGAAGCAGCCAUCAUUUAAAGAAAGCGUAAUAGCUCACUGGUCGAGUCGGCCUGCGCGGAAGAUGUAACGGGGCUAAGUAGUAAACCGAAGCUGCGGCAAUAUACUUUUGUAUAUUGGGUAGGGGAGCGUUCUGUAAGCGGUUGAAGGUGUGUGGUAACGCAUGCUGGACGUAUCAGAAGUGCGAAUGCUGACAUGAGUAACGAUAAAGGGGGUGAAAAACCUCCUCGCCGGAAGACCAAGGGUUCCUGUCCAACGUUAAUCGGGGCAGGGUAAGUCGACCCUAAGGCGAGGCCGAAAGGCGUAGUCGAUGGGAAACGGGUUAAUAUUCCCGUACUUCUUACAAUUGCGAUGGGGGGACGGAGAAGGCUAGGUGGGCCUGGCGACGGUUGUCCAGGUUCAAGUGCGUAGGCUUAAGAGUUAGGUAAAUCCGGCUCUUUCUAAGGCUGAGACACGACGUCGAGCACCUACGGGUGUGAAGUCAUUGAUGCCAUGCUUCCAGGAAAAGCCUCUAAGCUUCAGAUUGUAAGGAAUCGUACCCCAAACCGACACAGGUGGUCGGGUAGAGAAUACCAAGGCGCUUGAGAGAACUCGGGUGAAGGAACUAGGCAAAAUGGUACCGUAACUUCGGGAGAAGGUACGCUCUUGAUGGUGAAGUCCCUUGCGGAUGGAGCUGACGAGAGUCGCAGAUACCAGGUGGCUGCAACUGUUUAUUAAAAACACAGCACUGUGCAAAAUCGUAAGAUGACGUAUACGGUGUGACGCCUGCCCGGUGCCGGAAGGUUAAUUGAUGGGGUUAGACUUCGGUCGAAGCUCUUGAUCGAAGCCCCGGUAAACGGCGGCCGUAACUAUAACGGUCCUAAGGUAGCGAAAUUCCUUGUCGGGUAAGUUCCGACCUGCACGAAUGGCGUAAUGAUGGCCACGCUGUCUCCACCCGAGACUCAGUGAAAUUGAAAUCGCUGUGAAGAUGCAGUGUACCCGCGGCUAGACGGAAAGACCCCGUGAACCUUUACUACAGCUUGGCACUGAACAUUGACCCUACAUGUGUAGGAUAGGUGGGAGGCUUUGAAGCACGUACGCCAGUAUGUGUGGAGCCGUCCUUGAAAUACCACCCUUGUAGUGUUGAUGUUCUAACGUCGACCCCUUAUCGGGGUUGCGGACAGUGCCUGGUGGGUAGUUUGACUGGGGCGGUCUCCUCCCAAAGAGUAACGGAGGAGCACGAAGGUGGGCUAAUCACGGUUGGACAUCGUGAGGUUAGUGCAAUGGCAUAAGCCCGCUUGACUGCGAGAAUGACAAUUCGAGCAGGUGCGAAAGCAGGUCAUAGUGAUCCGGUGGUUCUGAAUGGAAGGGCCAUCGCUCAACGGAUAAAAGGUACUCCGGGGAUAACAGGCUGAUACCGCCCAAGAGUUCAUAUCGACGGCGGUGUUUGGCACCUCGAUGUCGGCUCAUCACAUCCUGGGGCUGAAGUCGGUCCCAAGGGUAUGGCUGUUCGCCAUUUAAAGUGGUACGCGAGCUGGGUUUAGAACGUCGUGAGACAGUUCGGUCCCUAUCUGCCGUGGGCGUUGGAAGAUUGAAGGGGGCUGCUCCUAGUACGAGAGGACCGGAGUGGACGAACCUCUGGUGUUCGGGUUGUGUCGCCAGACGCAUUGCCCGGUAGCUAAGUUCGGAAUCGAUAACCGCUGAAAGCAUCUAAGCGGGAAGCGAGCCCUGAGAUGAGUCUUCCCUGAUACUUUAAGUAUCCUAAAGGGUUGUCGGAGACUACGACGUUGAUAGGUCAGGUGUGUAAGUGCUGUGAGGCAUUGAGCUAACUGAUACUAAUUGCCCGUGAGGCUUAACCAUACAACACCCAAGGGGUUU